AUUGAACGCUGGCGGCAUGCUUUACACAUGCAAGUCGAACGGUAGAGGGGGCAACCCCUUGAGAGUGGCGGACGGGUGAGUAAUGCAUCGGAACGUGCCCAGUCGUGGGGGAUAACGCAGCGAAAGCUGUGCUAAUACCGCAUACGAUCUCUGGAUGAAAGCGGGGGACCUUGUAGCAAUACGGGGCCUCGCGCGAUUGGAGCGGCCGAUGUAAGAUUAGGUAGUUGGUGGGGGAAAGGCUCACCAAGCCAACGAUCUGUAGCUGGUCUGAGAGGAAGACCAGCCACACUGGGACUGAGACACGGCCCAGACUCCUACGGGAGGCAGCAGUGGGGAAUUUUGGACAAUGGGCGCAAGCCUGAUCCAGCAAUGCCGCGUGCAGGAAGAAGGCCUUCGGGUUGUAAACUGCUUUUGUACGGAACGAAGAGGUCUGGGUUAAUACCCUGGGCACAUGACGGUACCGUAAGAAUAAGCACCGGCUAACUACGUGCCAGCCGCCGCGGUAA
rnacentral:rRNA from 1 species